UACGUAGGGUGCAAGCGUUAAUCGGAAUUACUGGGCGUAAAGCGUGCGCAGGCGGUUAUGCAAGACAGAUGUGAAAUCCCCGGGCUCAACCUGGGAACUGCAUUGGUGACUGGCGGGCUAGAGUAUGGCAGAGGGGGGUAGAAUUCCACGUGUAGCAGUGAAAUGCGUAGAGAUGUGGAGGAAUACCGAUGGCGAAGGCAGCCCCCUGGGCCAAUACUGACGCUCAUGCACGAAAGCGUGGGGAGCAAACAGG
rnacentral:rRNA from 1 species